GUAGUUUUAUGUGUGCACUUUAAUUAUUUUGGGGGAUACUUGGGAUUGAACCCUUGGCUGUCACACUGAGCUACAUCCCCAUGCCUUUCCUUUUAAAGGUGUUUUAUUUUGAGACAGGUUCUCACUAAGUUACUAGGUUGCCCAGACUGGACUUGAACUUGUGAGCCUCCUACGUCAGCCCCACAGAGUGCCGGGAUUGUAGGUUAUCGCUCAUGCCCAGUAGCCACACGGAACUCAGAAGCUGUCAGCCAGGAUCUGAACUUGCAACCUGAGAGGUGGAUGGUGGUGGGACAUGCUGGUGGGCAGGAGCUGAGGACCUGGGCGGCAGAGCCAGGACAUCCCUCCCUCAUCUUCAGUGUCCCGCUGGAAGUGGAGGAAAGCGAGGCCCAGCACGCGCAGUCCCGGGGG
rnacentral:lncRNA from 1 species